GCGUGCCUAACACAUGCAAGUCGAACGAGAAGUACGUAGCAAUACGUAUUGUAAAGUGGCGCACGGGUGAGUAACACGUGGGUAAUCUGCCCUUGAGUUUGGGAUAACCCCGCGAAAGCGGGGCUAAUACCGAAUAAGACCACGGAGACCAAAGUCUCUGAGGUAAAAGAUGGCCUCUAUUUAUAAGCUAUCACUUGAGGAUGAGCCCGCGGCCCAUUAGCUAGUUGGUAGGGUAAUGGCCUACCAAGGCUAUGAUGGGUAGCUGGUCUGAGAGGACGAUCAGCCACACUGGAACUGAGACACGGUCCAGACUCCUACGGGAGGCAGCAGUGGGGAAUAUUGCGCAAUGGGCGAAAGCCUGACGCAGCAACGCCGCGUGGGGGAUGAAGGUUCUCGGAUUGUAAACCCCUUUCGACCGGAACGAAUCUCCUCCUGGUAAAUAAUCAGGAGGAUCGACGGUACCGGGAGAAGAAGCCACGGCUAACUCUGUGCCAGCAGCCGCGGUAAGACAGAGGUGGCGAGCGUUGUUCGGAUUUAUUGGGCGUAAAGCGUACGCAGGCGGUUUGGUAAGUCAGAGGUGAAAGUCCACAGCUUAACUGUGGCACUGCCUUUGAUACUGCCUUUCUUGAGUAGAGUAGGGGGAAGCGGAAUUCCGAGUGUAGAGGUGAAAUUCGUAGAUAUUCGGAGGAACACCGGUGGCGAAGGCGGCUUCCUGGACUCUAACUGACGCUCAUGUACGAAAGCGUGGGUAGCAAACAGGAUUAGAUACCCUGGUAGUCCACGCCCUAAACGAUGGGCACUAGGUGUGGGAGGUAUCGACCCCUUCCGUGCCGCAGCUAACGCAUUAAGUGCCCCGCCUGGGGAGUACGGCCGCAAGGUUGAAACU
rnacentral:rRNA from 1 species